UGGAUCUCGACAGGGUUGAUAUGAGAACACACGAGUAAUCAACGGCUGUAAUGACGCUACGUCAUUGUUACAGCUCUCGUUUUCAUGUGUUCUCAGGUCACCCCUGCUGAGCUCUU
rfam:Arabidopsis thaliana chromosome 5, complete sequence.